CUCCAUUUACUUUUGGGACCUAUCAGCUGUGACGUUCUCUUCCUAGCCAUGGAAGAGCUUUUUACUAUUGGAAAAGCUGUUAACUUUUACAUGAUAUUAGGUUUGGACUUGCACAAGUAACAUUC
rnacentral:snoRNA from 1 species